rnacentral:rRNA from 1 species
UACGUAGGGAGCAAGCGUUGUCAGGAAUCAUUGGGCGUAAAGCGCGCGUAGGUGGCCCCAUAAGUCCGCUGUGAAAGUCAAAGGCUCAACCUUUGAAAGCCGGUGGAUACUGUGGGACUAGAGUACGGAAGAGGCGAGUGGAAUUCCUGGUGUAGCGGUGGAAUGCGCAGAUAUCAGGAGGAACACCAAUAGCGAAGGCAGCUCGCUGGGACGUUACUGACACUGAGGCGCGAAAGCGUGGGGAGCGAACAGG